UACGUAGGGGCAAGCGUUGUCCGGAAUGACUGGGCGUAAAGGGCGUGUAGGCGGCCGAUUAAGUCUGGAGUGAAAGUCCCGCUUUCAAGGUGGGAAUUGCUUUGGAAACUGGUUGGCUUGAGUGCGGAAGAGGUAAGUGGAAUUCCCAGUGUAGCGGUGAAAUGCGUAGAGAUUGGGAGGAACACCAGUGGCGAAGGCGACUUACUGGGCCGUAACUGACGCUGAGGCGCGAAAGCGUGGGGAGCGAACAGGAUUAGAUACCCCGGUAGUCCCUGAGCGGGCU
rnacentral:rRNA from 1 species